rnacentral:sRNA from 1 species
UUCCUGGCCCUGCCACUGAUGAAUUUUCUUCUGCUCUAUCCUCUUCAGACGCAAUUAGACAAUUAGCACUCCUGCCCGCAGCCCCCACAACUUUCAUCAGAUGAAAUAACAUCCUAACUGGAGUGGAACUAUUUUCAUGAUUCCAAAUAAAAAAUGCAAUCUUCCAAAUACACCCUUAGUGAAUCCGUCCUUGAGAAAGGGGGACUGAAAUUCCUGCCUACACCUAAUACAAUAGGGCCCAGAGGCUGCCUGACCCAGCGCGGGCAGUCGGCAACAAACAACUCCUUCCCAUAGUGAAACACCAACCCCACCACUAAGGUGCAGAGGGCAUUUGCGGAACUUGCUGCUUCUGCCAAUGUUUAAAAAGUCCCCCUUCCUGAAAUGUCCACCGCGUUGCUCUCAAGGUAAUCUCGCUCCGCGCAGCUGAGCGCCCCGCAUCUCGCGCCUGCUACAUCAAAGGGCCCGCGCACAAAGCAGUGUUUCUUCGCCACGGUGCAUCUUCAUGGUAAGUUAGGAUUUCUAUGGCAAUGUGCA